GGAGUGAACGCUGGCGGCAGGCCUAACACAUGCAAGUCGAACGGCAGGCACAGCAGAGCUUGCUCUGUGGGUGGCGAGUGGCGGACGGGUGAGGAAUACGUCGGAAUCUGCCUUUUUGUGGGGGAUAACGUAGGGAAACUUACGCUAAGUACCGCAUACGACCUACGGGUGAAAGCGGAGGACCUUCGGGCUUCGCGCAGAAAGAUGAGCCGACGUCGGAUUAGCUAGUUGGAGGGGUAAUGGCCCACCAAGGCGACGAUCCGUAGCUGGUCUGAGAGGAUGAUCAGCCACACGUGGGACUGGAGACGACGGCCCAGACCUCCGUACGGGAGGCAGCAGUGGGAAUGUGGACAAGUGGGCGCAAGCCUGAUCCGAGCCAGCGCCG
rnacentral:rRNA from 1 species